rnacentral:rRNA from 1 species
GACGAACGCUGGCGGCGUGCUUAACACAUGCAAGUCGAACGAAGAGCGAUGGAAGCUUGCUUCUAUCAAUCUUAGUGGCGAACGGGUGAGUAACGCGUAAUCAACCUGCCCUUUAGAGGGGGACAACAGUUGGAAACGACUGCUAAUACCGCAUACGAUCUAAUCUCGGCAUCGAGGAAAGAUGAAAGGUGGCCUCUAUUUAUAAGCUAUCACUGAAGGAGGGGAUUGCGUCUGAUUAGCUAGUUGGAGGGGUAACGUCCCACCAAGGCGAUGAUCAGUAGCCGGUCUGAGAGGAUGGACGGCCACAAUGGGACUGAGACACGGCCCAGGCUCCUACGGGAGGCAGCAGGGGGGAAUCUUCCGCAAUGGACGAAAGUCUGACGGAGCAACGCCGCGUGAGUGAUGACGGCCUUCAGGUUGUAAAGCUCUGUUAAUCGGGACGAAAGGCCUUCUUGCGAACAGUUAGAAGGAUUGACGGUACCGGAAGAGAAAGCCACGGCUAACUACGUG